rnacentral:lncRNA from 1 species
AUGACCACCGCCGGAUUGACCAAAGCAUUAGCCGGAGAAGACAACACCACCGGAGAACACUUCAGUCGCCGGAAACCUGCACCCUCGCCGGAGAAGACGACCGGGUAAAUCUCUUGCGCUCGUUUACAAUUCUGUUGGACAAACUCUUGCUCUUAUUCUUUACCAAGAAACGCAACGCACUCUAAGGUUGAUAGUCAAGAUGAUGAAGGAAUCAAGUUAGGAUGGACUAGAUACCCAUUUUAGCAAUAAACUAUUUGUUUGAAUUUAUGUUUGAAUAUUCGAAACUUUGUAUUGCCCUUUAGAAUUUAAUAAAAUGAUUUAAUUCAUAUUGUCACAUUUAGUGUUAUGUUGUUUUGAGCAAUUUGUUCGUCUC